AUGGAAAUAGGGAUGCUGGAUGAGGGAGCUGCUGGAGCAGCUCAGCACUUCCCUUCCUCCACAAGGCUUUCCUGGGGAUUGUGGCUCCAUCUUCCCAUUCCAGGAGGAGCUGCCAGGACUCCAGGAAACCUUUCCAAGGUCUGCCUGGGAGUGGUGCCACCGUGGUGUUUGAAAGUUUGCUCAGGGGAGAGCCAGGGCUGGAAGCUGCAGGGCAGGAACCUCCCCAAACACGAGGGCCAAAGGACGGAGCUGGAGACGAGGACAUGCUCGGGGAUGGAAGGAGACCCCUGCAGUGGGUGCACCACAGGAAGCAACACCCAGAGAUGGAGCAGCACUCGAGUCCUGCAAAGCCAGGCCAGAGGAAUGAGGACACCAAGAAACACAUCCUACAAACUCUGCUGAGUUAUGGAAAACCAGGCAGGAAUUGCAGCAGGAAGGAUCUCCUGGGAUGUGCCCCACGCUCAGCUCUCACCUUGGGGGGCUCAUCCUUUCCCCCAGGUUUCCCUCCCCGGGUUUGUUCCCUGCUGUGCUUUGCCACCCUGGGCUCUGGCGGUGUGGGUGAUGCUGAGAGAGCUCCUGUUGGGCCAGGAAUGUUCUCCAGGCUCUUUCCCCUCCCUAAAAAUCUCCCCUUGCAGGGAAGGAAUGAGCAAAGCCCAGGGUGAGGACAGGAGUCACCCCUGAACUGAGGCUGGGUGGCUGCAGGGGACACGAGCACAAGGAGCCCUCAUUACUGGGACACUAAUGAGCGUGCUUUGGUGAUGAGCAGAGCUUUUCUGUGCCCCAUAAUCUACCAAUCAAACGUUAAAUGGAGCAAAAAUCAAUCAGCCAGCCCCAGGGCCGCUUAAUGAAUUAAUUGGAGGCUCUGGAAGUGGCUGUGGGGCUGAGCCACCCGUGCCUGCCUCCUGUGAGUCCACACACCAUGAGCACCCCAAUUCAAGGCUCCCCUACCAAGUUCCAGGUCUUUGUCCAGAGGGAGCACCAGGGAAACAGCCAGGUGGGACAUUGCCUGAUUUUAGGUGAUUUUAGGUGAUUUUAGGUGAUUUUAGGUGAUUUUAGGUGGGGUGGGGGGUGUUUCUCUCCCCACCUGUGGCGUGGUGGGGGCUGGAGGGAGCUCCUGGCAUUCCCUGCCUGGAUCAGAGCAUGGCACCAGCUGCCAGCCAGGUAAAACUCAGCUGUGCCCACCUGGGAGAGCUGGUUUGAUGCCCAGCUGUGGUGGGAGGGUGCUGGGCCCAGUUUCUGCUGGAACUAUUUGAAGUAAAUGCAAUAGAAAAUGAAAGGAGACAAGAAACUGCUGGGACCUAAUUAAAGGUAAAAGUUAAGGAAUAAAUGGGGAGCCUGUAAGUGCUGAACCCUUCUG
rnacentral:lncRNA from 1 species